GGCGGUCACGGCUAAUGAAUCGCCUCUAUCCUGGGCAGUGUAUUCUGACAUCACGCACAGGGAGCGCAACAUAACAGAUUGAUGAAGAAACAAGAAAUUCCGCAUGCAGCUCAGGAGAGCCGAAGGUUCAGUGGGCGUUCUCAAAUCCCACGACCAAGCCAGGAACUCGAGAGCGGAUGUCAGUGAGCUACCGGCCUCUGGAGGACAAAGUCCAGCCCUGUCCGCCUGAGCUCCCUAGUCUCCUGUGGGAGGUUAUGCCUCCCUAACCUGUGGGAGCGCCAAGGGCAAUGUGACACUGCCUCUGGAAUCCCCAGUGAAGACCAGCGACUUUGCACAGCCAGGACGCAAACCUGCACUCCUCUGAUUGUAUGACCACCGGCUUUACCAGGGGAGACCUCGGGACCCGACAGUGGGGUAUUUAAAUUCUACAGACCACUGUACAGAUUAAAGAACCAAAUAUAUUUCACAUAAGGACAACUAUGUUAUACACACUGAAAUGUUAAAAUACACUACACAUAGUAUAGUAAUGGCCUUUUUUGUACAGUAUAAUGAAUGAAUGAAUGUAUUUUCUGUAUGAAAAUUCAAUGAUAAUGAAAAAGGGUUUGAUUAUUGCUA